CAUCCUUCUAUCACCACAAAAUAAACAAGAAAGAAGUUAAGGAGCUUCCUGUACACAGAGCUAACCCUGGAAUUGCAUUCCUCAUCCUCAUCCUCUUUGUGGACAUCCUAGAAAGUACACUGCCAAGAGUGUAACAAGAUGAGGGAACAUAUAUUUCCUUCCCUCACCCACCUCAACUUCUUAUUGGCAGUAACAUCUUGCCACUUGUGGACCAAUUCACCCAAGAAGAUUCUGUGACAACAGAGAAUAGAUCUAGAGGCUUCAACUGUGAAGAAUAACAAGGUCAGUGUGAGCUGGUAUGAACCUAUCCCAAGAAGGGAAAGAGCAUUGGAGCUCUCCAAUGCCAGAUAUGUGCUUCAGUCAUUUGUGCCCCUCUACUGAUAUAAUCUGCGUGUGUGCUCACUUUUCUCAAUGAUAAUGUGUAUUUUGAAGAGGAUACUUCAGGUUUAUGAGAGACAUGUUUGGUUACUUGGAAUAUCAACUUUGAGUUAUCAACUGACUAUUUAAAAUGAACACACAAGAAGGAGGCUCCUGAUUUACAGAUACCUGGAAUCUGGGGUAGCCAUUCUUGUAAGGGUCCAACCUUGCCAGCACAAGUUGAUGGAGACUCAGAUCAGAAGCAAUAUUAGGCUUAGAAUAUAUUAACUCAGAUAUAGAGUCCAGAAUGAAGAAGAUAAUAUAUUGAACUCUGAUAUAAGGCCACAUCUAUGGUA